rnacentral:rRNA from 1 species
AUGGCCGAGCAUCUCUUUGAGGACAUCUUCCACGUGACCAGGAUCGACCCGGAUGGCAAGAAGUUCGACAGAGUUAAUCGCAUUGAGGCUAGAAGUGAGCAGUUGGAGAUGUACAUGCAAUUAGAUAUCGCUACCGAUGUCUACCCAAUGCAUAUGGGUGACAAGUUCACCAUGGUUUUAGCUCCGACACUGAAUCUGGAUGGGACUCCAGACACUGGCUACUAUACACAGGCUGGUAGGAAAACACUUGCUGACAAGUAUGACUAUGUAAUGCAUGGAAAGCUUUACAAGAUUUCAGAGGACAAUUCCAGCAAGGAUAAAGGACCUACUAAAGUGGAGAUCUAUGCAUCUUUUGGUGGCCUCCUGAUGUUGCUCAAAGGCGAUCCUUCAAGUGCUGCUAACCUCGAGCUGGAUCAAAGGCUGUUCCUCCUCAUCCGAAAGGUGUAA